AGCCUCACUUAUCAGCUGGGUCUGUUGACUAACACGACGGUUGACGUUGAUAUAAUUUCAGGAACUUUUGAUAAAAUACGAAUUAACCUAACGUAACUGUAAAUGUGAUAUGGUGGUUAGGAUAUCGUUAAAUAGAUUAAAAGUGUGUUGUUUACUUCUAAAAUAACGGGUCAGCUUCAAGUUGGUAGUAUUGUGAUAACACUGGCCAUGCGCACUGUCACUGUCACAAGUGGUUAGUUGUCACUCACAGGUGUUGAUAAGUGGUACAAGUUCCUCGAUCUGUGAAAUGUUUAAUCACAAUCUAUACCGACCACAUUACUUGUCUGAAUAACUAAGUCAACCAUCAACCUGAUAAAUGAUGUUCAAGUUUUGCAGAAGCGUGUUGGGUGUGGUGUGUGUGUAUGUAGUGUGGCUGUCAGGAGGGACCAGCGCUGACUCCCCACAAUCUUGCAAGUUACUAUUUAAAAAUGGAUCCGAAAUAAAUCUCAUGAUGGUCGCUGCCUCACCACAAGACGCUCCUAGGUUUAAAGACUGCAAAUCUAAAAACUCAUCAGAUAAUAGUUUAUAUUACUACAAUCCCUGUUACUCGUACGUCUACCCUCCAGAUGGCCAAGGGAUGUCAUGCAGUAAUAAUGUUGCCGUAAGAAUCUUUGAAUAGUGUGUCAUGGCACUGUACGUGGUUAUUUCAACAUUGGAACUCAAGAUUCUGGCAAAUUCUUCUUUGACAAUAAGACUCAGAUGUGGGUGAUUUCAUACUACAGCCGCAACUAUGAAAAACAGACAAAUGUCAGUUUAAAAUGCACUGAUUCACUGAAUCAUACACUGGAAGUUAACGGGCAGACACAGGGACAGGACAGACGUAUAGUAUAUACAAUGACUUUAUCUUCACGCUGUGCAUGUGUUGAUGGCUGCGGCACCCCUAUUCUCCCACAUGGCAUGUCCUUGGGGUCCUUUUUGCUGCUGCUGCUGCUGAUUUUUAUUGUCACCUAUCUGCUUAUAGGUUAUAUAUACCGUCGCUUUGUAAUAGGGGCACAAGGAAUAGAACUCCUGCCACAUCUUAGCUUUUGGAUGGCAUUUCCACUUCUUGUUCAGGAUGGUUUUCUCUUCCUCGUUAAAUGUGGACAAAAUGACGACACUUAUGAAAGAAUAUGAGGGAGAUGUUCCUGGAGGUGCUUGGUUCCCUGAGGGCACCUUACAGUGGUGACUGUUCCUUAUAAUGAGGACUUGGUGACUGCAUCCAACAGAGGGAAUAAGGUUGUACAUAAUUCUUAAGUGACUCUUGCCUUCCUGCUUUUGAUGAGCUGAAAGAGGAAUGCCUUGUGAUAAUUAGCCUAAUGCAUUCCAUUAUAAUGAGAUUUUUAUCCAUUUUAUAAAUGUACAUUUAGAAGGUGAACUUUGUGGUAUUAUAUUACUCAGGGAUCACUAUAUACAGUAUCUAUGUCAUAUUAAGAAGUCCUAUGGUAAAAGGGUAACUUUAUUGAAAGACAUGACUGUACCAGAAGUCUCUUAUGAUUAUUUUAAAACUUGCUGCCAAUUUUUUACCUUUAUUCCUUAGGUCAGAGGUUUAAGAUUAUUGUACAUAUACUGUAUAUUUUUUUUACCCCAUUUUUUCUUUAGUAAGUAAGUGGUCUUCCUUUGAUAUCAAAACUUUUUUUAUUGGCAAAUAUACAAUAUAAUUUUAAGUUAAAGUUUAGCAAGGUAGAUUCCUAAAAUAGAUUCAUACUAUGGUCAUGAUAAGUGUUUGAAUGUUACCUUUAAAUUGUUUCUAGUGUUCCAUGACUACUUUAAUCUCCAUGACCUUCUCAGGAUUUUCAAUGACUGUGAAAACACUGUCUUUAACAUAACCCCUGAAACUGGUUCGUUUUCUUUUUGGACUCUACAAAUGUACCUACUGGGUAAAUUUCUCAAAAGACCUCACAUUUAUACACCUGUAGACAAUAACAUUCAGUAGAGUACUUCCUCGUACCCUUAACUAACAUAUUUAAUAUACAAAGACAAUCAGAGAUACUGCAUUCUUUCUCUAACACUUCAUAUACUGUUACUGUGAUAACAUUACUGAUAUCACAUACAAAAUAAAUCUCCGUCAACAAUCGUGUAUUCAUUGGGUUUUAUCUGAUUUGAAACUUCUAGACCCAAUUCACCUAAUCUGUUCAUCUCUUUCUCAGUCAUUCUAUUAUUCUUGUACCUUCAAUUGUGAUGUCACAUUUUUUCUUACUAAUCUCUCCUGACUUAUUCUCCAUAUACUGUAUACUGUAUCAGAUUUAAAAAAUUUCCUGUUUAAAUUAAUCUUAAUGGGAAGUUGAGAAACUUUCAACCGCCUCAAGUAAUUACUUCAUAAAGAUGGCAACAAAAUUGGUAAUACAAAAUUCAUGUAAUUGCCCAAAAUUACAAAAUAGCUCACAUACCAGAACAGAAAUGGAGAAUACAUCUAAAUGACUCAUAUAUGCUACAACAUAAAGAUGGCAGCCAAAAUAGUAUAUGAACUACCUUGGGUCCUCCUUAACUACAGUUUCAGGGAGAGAGAGAGAGAUAGAGAUAUUAUGGAACUCUUUGAAGAUUUUAUAUCUAACUUUGACAUUAGUAAACAAUUACCAUAAUGGACUGGAGAAAAUAAACACAAAUUGAAGAAUUGAUGGACAUAUAUUCAGAUCCUGCUUAUUACACUAAUACAAAGCUUAAAAUUAAAUUGCACUAUAAGAUGUGGCCAAACACAAGAACAUUUAAAUUUUGAGAUUACAUUGUGACAUAGAUUCAGCGGAUUCCAUGGUGAAACAUUAUUGUAAUGAGUUCUUAAUUACAGUAAUACUGCAUACUGUAACUGAAAGAUAAAUGCUGAGAGAAAGGGGGAGAAAUCUAUUGGUAUAACUAUUAAUACUACCUGAAGAAUCUCACUUCAAUACACUAAGGCAUAGUGAAGAUUUCCACUACUGUAAUAAAUAACACAUUUAAGAAUUUCCCCUAUCAUUAUUUAACAUGAAUAAAUAACAUUAAAUUGUUUGUCCUUAUAAAGUUAACACUGAGAUAUUGACAAGUGCCUGAGUUGUGCAAUAGAACAAUAUUGUGCCAUAUCAGCAGGUUCAAUGUUCUACAGUGUUACAGUACUUGACUUAUAAUGAUCUCUCAUGUUACUUGAAGGAAUGUUUUGUUAUGGGACCUGAGAUGCACUUUAACUCCUAUCCUAUAAGUUUACAUCCUCUCAGAGGUUAGUACAUGAUAAAGACGAUGAUGAUAUUUUGAUAAGUACGAUGAUGAUGAUAUUUUUUCAGUUUCACUAAAACUGCUUAAGCUAAUUUUAUUAUACACAGAUCUUUGAAUGCUGCAUAAGAAAAUUUGAUUGAUUUGACGAGCUGGUGUUUCUGUAUUUGUUUCAAUUUACAUCAAUUUCUUGUUUGACUGAAUUAUGUACUGUACAUUACAUUUAUUAAAGCUUACGUAUUUUAAAACACUUAACAAAUACACAACAAAAAACGUCAAGAAUUUCCUUUGUUCUACUCAUUCACAUAAAGACUAUGGAAAUUAUUUAAGCACUGAUCUCCUUCUUACACAUUAAUACAUGUACACAUAGAGUAUACCACCUAAAAACUUAAUACUGUAUUCAAAUUUGGUUGAUAUUAAGCCGAAUCCCAACUGGCAGCACAUAAAGAAUAUGCCAACACACAAUAGCCAACAAAGGAUUUAAAUGUGAUAACUGCCACACUGUAUUUCCCCCUACAAAACAUUAACCCUUUCACUAUGGGAAUGCCAAUUUUAAAAUUUAUUUGGCUAGCAUUAGACUAUUUUAUUCAGCAGAGAGAGACCCCCAUGUACAAGGAGUUCAUAUAACUACAAUAGUAAAUGCUUGUCCACCAGGCUACUUUAUAGAAUUUGAUAUUUAAUAAAAAAAACAAGGGACAUUCAAGUUAAAAACAAACUAAAUAAGAAGACCAAUGCCAAAAUAGCUAAUAAGUGGUAAAUGGCAAAAUAAUUACAUACUUAAAAUUAAUAAUUAAAUAAAUAUUUAUAAGUACUUACCAUGUUUUAGAUGUCAACUUGGUUUAUCAAGUACAAUAAUAAUCAUGUGCUUGAUUGCUACCAUGUUUACAUUAACACCUCAACAUGGCACCAUUUUUGGUAAUGAUCCCUGAUACUGAUAUUCAACACUUGUCUCCAUGAACUGGUGGUCAUUAGUCUGUACCUUUUUGUAUUAAAGACAGUGUGCUAUUCUUCGGUAAAUCUCACUCUUAGUUUAACUGAAAUGUAUUGUCAGCUGAAGAAACUGAUAAAUGAAUUUUGAUACAUUGUUGUUUUAUUAUAAAAUUAAAUUAUAAUUCUAUUGAAAUGUGUUUAAAUCAACCUAGAUCUUACCCAUAAGUUACUACAGUAUUUGUUCUUCUAUAGACUAGACAGAUCAAUAUAUUGGAUGUUGCUUGACGCAGGUAAUAGUGUACGAAAAAGUGCACAGGUUUUUAUACAGUCAGUUCUCGUGUAAUGCCGUAGUUGUGUUUUUAUAAUACAUGUUUUAGUUCCAUAAUAUCAUUCAUUAAUCGAAAAAAAAAUAUGAAAAGGGGGAAGAUGCUUUUUAAAGUGUGUUAGUCUACAUUGCUAGGUGAUAGAAAACAGUGCCAUGGAGGAGGGUGGAGAAUUAAAAUUAUGAAAUAAUACGUAGCAGAAUGUGUCACUUAAAUGCUUUUAAUGAUAAAACUUUUUAAAUAAAAAUUUUAACCUUAAAUAAUAUAAAAAACUUGUUAAAACGUUUUAACAUUCACCACAAAAAGCGAAGGCUGCUGCUUGGGACUUGUGGUAGUGGAAGAGAAGGUAAAGUUAAUCUGAAGACAGAUUCAAGAGUACUGUACACUACAUGUAAUAGUUGUUUUUUCACUUCACUUCCACUAACCAGAAUGUUUCACACCCAAUUAAUAACAAUAAAGUGGAUACUAAGGUAAAGUACAGUCUGCAAUAACACGUCCGAUAUGCAUGGAAAAUAAACAAAGACUGAAAUGCGUGGGCAGCAUCCCGCCUUUUGUGUUGCUAUGCCGAGGCAGCCACGUAACCAGUUAUUCCUACCAGAGUAACAUACAGUAGUUACAUUUACUCAAUUGCGUUAUAUCUAAUUCGCAUCUGUGUUGUUAAAAAUGUGUUCUUAACACAUUCAUCACGUUAUAAUAACACACGUUUUCGGAGAACUGACUGGUUGGGAAAACAUUUUACAUCCAUCCUAAACUUACAACCAUUUGGUCUAAAACUUUAAUUCCUAUUCUUUGAUAAAAAUUUACCACUCGACCAAAUGCCAGUGCAACCAUUAAAAGUUUUCCAAGUACAGUACUGUACAACUGUAUAUAAUAUUAAACCCUUCUUCUAAUAACAUAAACCUUCCUAACUUAUCGAGCUGGAGCCAGGAUCUUCCUUGUCUAGGUUCCAAGAUGAUCCUUAGAAACCAAAAACCAUUUCCAAUGACCAAGUGAUUGGCAAUUAUCUUAAAGGUAGUCUUAACCCUUUGGAUGUGCUGUGCAGCUGCAGUUGAAUGACACAUGAAUAUAAUCAAAUGCAGGGUUUUAAUUUUCUGUACGUCUAUCAAGAAAUGCACCCCCAACAACCCCUUCCCUCCAGGCAGACGAAUGUCUGUCGCUGUUGUCAUACAGUGAUGACUUCACUCAUAAACAAUAACUCGCUCAGAUAAUUGCCAGCACCUACACUGAUACACUUACAGUAUUUGCUUCUCAUUUUAAUAUUGUAAGGUGAUGCUUUGUAAGUGUAUGUCAUUUAUCAUAAUAUACAUAAAUAAAGGUAUAAA